UACGUAGGGGGCAAGCGUUGUCCGGAAUCAUUGGGCGUAAAGAGCGUGUAGGCGGUCCGAUAAGUCCGCUCUGAAAGCCCGGGGGCUCAACCCCGGGAGGCGGGCGGAUACUGUCGGGCUAGAGUCCGGAAGAGGCAAGUGGAAUUCCUGGUGUAGCGGUGAAAUGCGCAGAUAUCAGGAGGAACACCGAUGGCGAAGGCAGCUUGCUGGGACGGUACUGACGCUGAGACGCGAAAGCGUGGGGAGCAAACAGG
rnacentral:rRNA from 1 species